rnacentral:lncRNA from 1 species
ACUUAUCUAAAACAUGAAUUUUUGUGUGUUAUUUUGUUUGUAGCUUGAUGAUGUGCUCCGUGAUUGUGAACUUUGUAGAUGACAACAUCUUGCCACAGCACAAAUGUGUGCAUGCUCACGUGUGACUUAAGACUCACAGCAUUGUGCAACUUCCCGUUCCCUUCCAGGCACAAGGAGUCAAAGUGGCACCGUGGUUAUGUGUGCUCAUGGUUUCUGGUCCAGAUAACUUUGGGCUGCUGCAGAAGACCCUCUCUUUGAUUGCUCUGGAAUCCUCACAAGCAUACAACGUUAAAUCCACGAAAUAGGUUGCAUGGGUCCAGAAACACACAACACUGGUCCUCGAGAAUUAUAGAGAAAGUUAACUGGAUUCAGUCCAGUUUGGUGGGAGGGAAAAACAUGGAGGGAUUGUUUUUGACGUGACUUGAUGGCCCCAGUGUAUAUAAUUAUAUCCAUUUGGAGUCUUUGAAGCACUGGGUCUCAGAGUAGAAGAGAUGAAGACAUUCAAAUCCAACUCAUCUCUCUUGACAUGUUCAAAAUCAUCUGGCAGAAGAACAAGGAUAUCCAGUUUUCAUAGCAAUGGUCUUUUAAAAAUAAACUUCUAAUUCUCCUCCAAG